GGCCUACCAAGGCGAUGAUGCAUAGCCGAGUUGAGAGACUGAUCGGCCACAAUGGGACUGAGACACGGCCCAUACUCCUACGGGAGGCAGCAGUAGGGAAUCUUCCACAAUGGGCGCAAGCCUGAUGGAGCAACACCGCGUGAGUGAAGAAGGGUUUCGGCUCGUAAAGCUCUGUUGUUAAAGAAGAACACGUAUGAGAGUAACUGUUCAUACGUUGACGGUAUUUAACCAGAAAGUCACGGCUAACUACGUGCCAGCAGCCGCGGUAAUACGUAGGUGGCAAGCGUUAUCCGGAUUUAUUGGGCGUAAAGAGAGUGCAGGCGGUUUUCUAAGUCUGAUGUGAAAGCCUUCGGCUUAACCGGAGAAGUGCAUCGGAAACUGGAUAACUUGAGUGCAGAAGAGGGUAGUGGAACUCCAUGUGUAGCGGUGGAAUGCGUAGAUAUAUGGAAGAACACCAGUGGCGAAGGCGGCUACCUGGUCUGCAACUGACGCUGAGACUCGAAAGCAUGGGUAGCGAACAGGAUUAGAUACCCUGGUAGUCCAUGCCGUAAACGAUGAGUGCUAGGUGUUGGAGGGUUUCCGCCCUUCAGUGCCGGAGCUAACGCAUUAAGCACUCCGCCUGGGGAGUACGACCGCAAGGUUGAAACUCAAAGGAAUUGACGGGGGCCCGCACAAGCGGUGGAGCAUGUGGUUUAAUUCGAAGCUACGCGAAGAACCUUACCAGGUCUUGACAUCUUGCGCCAACCCUAGAGAUAGGGCGUUUCCUUCGGGAACGCAAUGACAGGUGGUGCAUGGUCUUCUCAGUUCGGACUGCAGGCUGCAACUCGCCUGCACGAAGUCGGAAUCGCUAGUAAUCGCGGAUCAGCAUGCCGCGGUGAAUACGUUCCCGGGCCUUGUACACACCGCCCGUCACACCAUGAGAGUUUGUAACACCCAAAGUCGGUGGGGUAACCUUUUAGGAGCCAGCCGCCUAAGGUGGGACAGAUGAUUAGGGUGAAGUCGUAACAAGGUAGCCGUAGGAGAACCUGCGGCUGGAUCACCUCCUUU
rnacentral:rRNA from 1 species